GAUGAACGCUGGCGGCGUGCUUAACACAUGCAAGUCGAACGGUGAAGCAGGAGCUUGCUCUUGUGGAUCAGUGGCGAACGGGUGAGUAACACGUGAGCAACCUGCCCCUGACUCUGGGAUAAGCGCUGGAAACGGCGUCUAAUACUGGAUAUGUGAUGUGACCGCAUGGUCUGCAUCUGGAAAGAAUUUCGGUUGGGGAUGGGCUCGCGGCCUAUCAGCUUGUUGGUGAGGUAAUGGCUCACCAAGGCGUCGACGGGUAGCCGGCCUGAGAGGGUGACCGGCCACACUGGGACUGAGACACGGCCGAGACUCCUACGGGAGGCAGCAGUGAGGAAUAUUGCACAAUGGGCGGAAGCCUGAUGCAGCAACGCCGCGUGAGGGAUGACGGCCUUCGGGUUGUAAACCUCUUUUAGCAGGGAAGAAGCGAAAGUGACGGUACCUGCAGAAAAAGCACCGGCUAACUACGUGCCAGCAGCCGCCGCCG
rnacentral:rRNA from 1 species